AUUGAACGCUGGCGGCAGGCUUAACACAUGCAAGUCGAGCGGGGACUUCGGUCCUAGCGGCGAACGGGUGAGGAAUGCUUGGGAAUCUGCCCAGUAGCGGGGGAUAACGUUUCGAAAGGAACGCUAAUACCGCAUACGCCCUACGGGGGAAAGGGGGGGAUCUUCGGACCUCUCACUAUUGGAUGAGCCCAAGUCGGAUUAGCUAGUUGGUGGGGUAAAGGCCUACCAAGGCGACGAUCCGUAGCUGGUCUGAGAGGAUGAUCAGCCACACUGGAACUGAGACACGGUCCAGACUCCUACGGGAGGCAGCAGUGGGGAAUAUUGGACAAUGGGCGAAAGCCUGAUCCAGCCAUGCCGCGUGUGUGAAGAAGGCCUUCGGGUUGUAAAAGCACUUUAAGCGAGGAGGAAUGGCUGAGGGUUAAUAACCUUCAGCAGUGACGUUACUCGCAGAAUAAGCACCGGCUAACUCUGUGCCAGCAGCCGCCGUAAGAC
rnacentral:rRNA from 1 species